ACUCAAAUGAAUUGACGGGGGCUCACACAAGCGGUGGAGCAUGUGGCUUAAUUCGAGGCUACGCGAAGAACCUUAUCCUGGACUUGACAUGUUCGAAAGAGGUAGCAAGUAGGGGACGGAAACGCACCCCCAACGGUAUCCAGUCCGGAAGCUACUACAGGUGCUGCAUGGCUGUCGUCAGCUCGUGUCGUGAGAUGUCGGGUUAAGUCCCAUAACGAGCGAAACCCUUACCCUCAGUUGCCAGCGAGUAAAGUCGGGGACUCUGGGGGGACUGCCGGUGUCAAACCGGAGGAAGGUGGGGAUGACGUCAAGUCCUCAUGGCCUUUAUGUCCAGGGCUGCACACGUGCUACAAUGCCGCGUACAAAGGGACGCAAACCCGCGAGGGGGAGCCAAUCCCAAAAAACGCGGCCCAGUUCAGAUUGAAGGCUGCAACUCGCCUUCAUGAAGUUGGAAUCGCUAGUAAUCGCAGGUCAGCAACACUGCGGUGAAUGUGUUCCUGAGCCUUGCACACACCGCCCGU
rnacentral:rRNA from 1 species